UCCGGUUGAUCCUGCCAGAGGCCACUGCUAUCGGGGUUUGACUAAGCCAUGCGAGUCGAGAGGUUUCUGACCUCGGCGCACUGCUCAGUAACACGUGGACAAUCUGCCCUAAAGAGGAGGAUAAUCCCGGGAAACUGGGGGUAAUACUCCAUAGUUUGUGUUUACUGGAAUGUUACGCAAACGAAAGAUCCGUCGCUUUAGGAUGAGUCUGCGGCCGAUUAGGUAGUUGUUGGGGUAACGGCCCAACAAGCCUGUCAUCGGUACGGGUUGUGGGAGCAAGAGCCCGGAGAUGGAUUCUGAGACACGAAUCCAGGCCCUACGGGGCGCAGCAGGCGCGAAAACUUUACCAUGCGGGCAACCGUGAUAAGGAAACCCCGAGUGCCAGCACAGGCUGGCUGUCCACCAGUGUAAAUAACUGGUGAAGAAAGGGCCGGGCAAGACCGGUGCCAGCCGCCGCGGUAAUACCGGCGGCUCGAGUGGUGGCCACUAUUACUGGGCUUAAAGGGUCCGUAGCUUGAUAUGCAAGUCUUUUGAGAAAUCCGCCGGCUUAACUGGUGGGCGUUCAGGGGAAACUGCAUUUUCUAGGGACCGGGAGAGGUGAGAGGUACUGCCGGGGUAGGAGUGAAAUCCUGUAAUCCCGGUGGGACCACCUAUGGCGAAGGCAUCUCACCAGAACGGGUCCGACAGUGGGGGACGAAAGCUGGGGGAGCAAACCGGAUUAGAUACCCGGGUAGUCCCAGCUGUAAACGAUGCGCGUUAGGUGUGUCAGUGACCACGUGUCACUGAGGUGCCGAAGGGAAACCGUGAAACGCGCCGCCUGGGGAGUACGGUCGCAAGGCUGAAACUUAAAGGAAUUGGCGGGGGAGCACCACAACAGGUGGAGCCUGCGGUUUAAUCGGACUCAACGCCGGGAAUCUCACCGGAUAAGACAGCUGUAUGAUAGUCGGGAUGAAGACUCUGCUUGACUAGCUGAGAGGAGGUGCAUGGCCGUCGUCAGUUCGUACUGUGAAGCAUCCUGUUUAGUCAGGUAACGAGCGAGACCC
rnacentral:rRNA from 1 species